GGGACGGAGCUCGGGGAGCGUGGGUGGGAGCCGCGGAGGCGGCCGCGCCGAGCCGGGUCCGUGGCCCGCCGGCCCCCGUCCCGGGGGUGGCCGCCCGGGCCAGGGGGUCGCCCACCCGGGGUCCCGGCCCUCGCGCGUCCUUCCCCCUCUUUCCUCCGAGGGUGGCGGGAAGCGGGCGGCGGCGAGGCCCGGGGCGUCCCCACACACGGGCGACCUCGGCUGGCGGCCGCUCCUGUUUCGGACCUCCGGGGUCGAUCGGCGGCCGCCCGCGAGCCCCGGACUCGGCAGGCGGCCCGCCGUGUCCCGGGUCGACCGGCAGGCCGGCCGCUGGCCGUUCCCUCCAGCGGGCUGCGGUGGAUCGCUGCGAGGGCGCCGAUCCCCGUUCACGCGCGGGUGCCCUUCACCGGCCUCGGCCUUCGGUGGAGCUGGGACCACGCGGAACUCCCUCUCCUACAUUUUUCUCUGCCCCAUUUGGAGUUUGCGUCCGCGGGACUUUUAAGAGGGAGGGAGUCGCUGUUGCCGUCGGCCAGUCGUUGUCAUGUUCAUCGUUUGCUUGCUUGUUUCAUUGGUUUCCUGCCUUCCCUGCCUUCCCGGCGGGGUCUUCCUCUGCCUCUGUCGCCCGGGAUCACCCCAGCCUCGACGAUUUCGACCGAGCGGCCGUCCCGCGUCUCAUCCCUCCCGUCCCCGUUCCCUGGGACUACGGGUGUGCACCACCACACCGGGUGUCGUCUCACACGUCGAGGUGAUCUCAAACGUCUACGCUCCGGCCAUCCUUCCACGUCGGCCUCCCGGAGUGCUGGGAUGACACGCGUGGGCACGACGGAGUUUCACUCUUGUCGCCCAGGGUGGACUACGAUGGCGUGAUCUCGGCUCGCUGCGACCUCCGCCUCCCGGGUUCGAGUGAUCCUCCUGCCUUGGCCUUCCCGAGGAGCUGGAAUGACGGGGAAGCGCCAUCGUGCCCGGCUGACUUUUAUAUUUUUAGUACAGAUGGGGUUUCUCCGUCUUGGUCAGCCUGGUCUUGAGCUUCCGACCGUUGGACGAUUUUAACUUUCUUGGUGGUUGCUUUUCUUUUUCUUUUUUUCUUUUCUUUUCUUUCCUUCUCCUCCCCCCACCCACUCCCCCUGUCCUCCUCGUCCUCCUCGUCCUCGUCCUCCUCCUCCUCCUCCUUUUUCAUCUCUUUCAGCUGGGCUCUCCUACUUGUGUUGCUCAGUUGCUCACGCUGGUCUCCAACUCCUGCCCUUGACGCUUCUCCCCUCACACCCACCGUCUGGUUGUUGAGAUGCGCACCUCUUGUAAAAUGGAAAAGAUGAAAAAAAUAAAAGACGGAGGUGAAAA